rnacentral:lncRNA from 1 species
UUUACGCUCCUAUUGGUAUACACUGCUUUUUAUUCCAAUCAAUUGCAUGUGCAGAUAGUAUUGUCACGCAAGUUGGUCACGCAACUCGUUGCCCAGCCUUUCGCAAUAAUAAACAAUUUUAGACAUUUCAUCAUUUUCAACUGUAUAUUGAAUUGUCAGAGCGAUAGUAUGUCGGUCAAUCCAAGUGCGUUGGGGCGACAGCGGUAAAUAUGAGGCGGAGUCGCAAGCUGGCGGUUGUUUUUCUGGCAUCUUUUGCAACCUGGGCUGCAGUAUGCUCGGUAACACCUCCUGGUAGCGGUCGGCAAGCAGCUUUUUGGGUGGGUUGUGCCGCACCCUUCGCCCCUGCCAUGAGCAGUGGCUCACAUGCCAGAGGCCACGUGCAGGCGCCCCUGUGGCUGCUGCUCCUUGUUGGGUUGUACCUUCUCAUACGACUGACUUUUGGCGUCCUGAGCUUCAAGAGCUAUCCAUCCGCGAUUCAGGAGCUUAAGCUGGUGAGAUCUCCGGUUGCAGCAACACGAGACUUGCUUAACGAUUUGGGGCUCAUUCAAACGUGUCAAUGAAAUUGAGGGGGGUUGAGGCAUGUGGGCGGGACCUCGCAGGGCCCCCUGGGGGAUAGCGGAGAAAGGCCUUCAAAAGAAGGGCAAAUAUCAGGUUUUGUCCAAGAGCCAAAAUCGGCGACAACAUGAACACCAUGCCUAUCUGCCUACGUAUUAGGCAUAAUCGGGGGAUGGAGAUCGUUCUCUGAAUUGCACCGUCCUACGCAACUUGGCUAUCAGGGCAUGUGUCGCUCGCUGCCCCGCACUAAAUAGCUCAUCAGUGCAGGAUUCGAACAAGGCAUCCGGCCCGUAAUGAAGCCCUAAAUACCUAGCGCUGCCAACCCACGGUAUCUCUUCAAAAUGCACAUGUUUCCCACUGCUCGCUGCAUACCAACCUUCACAAGGCUCCCAGAUAACGCACGUAGAGUUCGAUUGGGUUGAAAGUAGACAACCUCACACUUACGAGUAUGAACGCCACGCCAAAUGCUGCGCUGCACCCCUCCGUGAGGGCCUUAAGGAGGCACAUUAGGCGCCGGUAAUUGUGGGCAAGCAGAUUCAGGUCAUCUGCGUACAGCUUUAGGGGAACACGCACCCCAUCAACAAUGGGGCACCCAUCGACACACAUAGAUUUUGGCGCCUUUACGAUCUUUGGCCUCCGUGCACUCCGCGAAGCCUUUACUGAGAAAACCGAGACAAUGUGGGGCUGAGGGGGCAGCCUACCGUUUGCUUUCGCGCGCACACUUACUCUCCUAUAACAGGCCUUCAGAGCCUGUUAUAAGUGCAUGGAAACCCUCCAAAUGCCCCAUACAUGCAUUUGGGUAGUACAGGCGUCCGCAAUGCUGAUUCAUCUCACCGUUUGUUCCAAGCAGAUUCACACCCGGGUACAAAAUCUGGUUCCAUACUUGAUCCAAGUGUGAUCCGCACUCCAGAUCUGGAAGAAUUUUCUGGUCCCAUUGACUCGCACAUGGCACCGUGCGCAGGAAGUUGAGGAGGCGCGGCGUGGGCUGGCAGCUUUAGGUAUCUCCACAUGAUGCCACCUUUAGACAUUUAGCUCACGCUCCCUUUCGUCAUCGUGGAAUAUGGUAGCAUCCAACCGGAUGCAUGUGGAUCCAUACUAGCAUUAAACCGACAUACGGAUGCAUCGUACGGAUGCGUACUAGCAUCAAACCGACGUAUGGAUGCAUACUAGGAUGCGAUUGUGGAAUGGAGCCGCAUCACUGUUUUUGCGUUGGGGGGAACAUGGUUGGUGCUUAGAGUGGCGGGUUGGGUUAGGCAGCAGGGAAUACGGAAGGUGCGGGGGCCGUGGAGGGCGCGGGAAGCGUGGGAUGCAGGCUAUGUGAAGACCAUCAUCACAUGGGGAUGUCACAUACAUAGCCCACAGAUUCAUACACAUUUAUGCAUGUGCUAGUAAAGCGGCAUGUGUGAGACAUUCAGCAGGUGUUCUUUGUCCGUUUGGGUGGAUUGACUGCAUCACGUGUACGCCAAGGGUCUUCAUCUCUCGCGUUUUUCGGUAUAUGUUUGCACAGCCUUUUUGUGUUCUUCUCUUUCACACGCUCUCUUCCGUGUCUUGUACUGUUCUUCUGUCUCUCUUUCGCACAGUGGCAAUGAUGAAAAUGGGCUGGGGGCAUCCCCACGGCGAUAUGUGUUUUGUUAUGUCGCACUACUCAGACUAUGACAUGUGCUUCGCGUUGAGUGGAGAAAAGCACAGAAGUGCGCGUGUGGACGACAGGCAGGGUGUGAUUCGUUACAGCAGGGUGUGAUAUUCGUUAUAUAUGGACAAGAUAGGAACUGGACAGUUACAUGAAGAUGCUGAUUACAGCCCUUCUCAUCCAUACGUGAGGUGGGUCAGGCGGGCACAGGCGUGGCCGUUUUUCCUUUUGGUGGCGGCGAUUACCGGACGGACCAGCGUUUUGGCCUUGCAUCGCGCGAGGCACGCGAUUUGCCAAGGUAAGCUAGUAGAAUGAGAACGCCCCGUACACCGAGCGGAUCGGAUAGGAGAAAUGCGCUCCUACCACACGUGCCGGGUUAUGCUAGUCGUAAUACGAAGUGGCUCAGCUGGACAUCUUUGCACUAGUCUUGCAGGGUGUCGUUUUCGGCUGGGCCAACAGGCUGCAGCACAGCCGCUGACACGGGAGGGGAGCGACUGGCGCCCCCCGCUCGACCACAGCAUCCUUGAUAAGUCGCGAUCCACGGAUUUCCACGAUGGAGAGCCGAAGCAAACAUUUCGUCAUUUUGUCCAUCCUAACGCUGCAAGGUGGUUUGGGGCCUUGAAGCGCCUUGAUGCGGCUGAGCGGCACCUGCUUGCCG